rnacentral:rRNA from 1 species
UACGGAGGUGGCAAGCGUUGUUCGGAAUCAUUGGGCUUAAAGGGCGUGUAGGCGGGGCGUUAGGUAUGGGGUGAAAUCCCCGGGCUCAACCCGGGAACGGCCUCGUAAACCGGCGCUCUGGAGGCAGGUAGAGGUGACUGGAACGACGGGUGGAGCGGUGAAAUGCGUAGAUAUCCGUUGGAACGCCGGUGGCGAAAGCGGGUCACUGGGCCUGUCCUGACGCUGAGACGCGAAAGCGUGGGUAGCAAACAGG